ACCUUCCGUAGGUGAACCUGCGGAAGGAUCAUUACC
rnacentral:rRNA from 1 species